AAUGAGUCAAAUGCAAGUCUUCUAAAUUUGUUUGAGGUAUUUACCUGCUCAUUU
rnacentral:tRNA from 2 species